GAUGAACGCUAGCUACAGGCUUAACACAUGCAAGUCGAGGGGAAACGAUAGAGAAAGCUUGCUUUUUCUAGGCGUCGACCGGCGCACGGGUGAGUAACGCGUAUCCAACCUGCCCACCACUUGGGAAUAACCUUGCGAAAGUAAGACUAAUACCCAAUGAUAUCUCUAGAAGACAUCUGAAGGAGAUUAAAGAUUUAUCGGUGAUGGUUGGGGAUGCGUCUGAUUAGCUUGGUGGCGGGGUAACGGCCCACCAAGGCGACGAUCAGUAGGGGUUCUGAGAGGAAGGUCCCCCACAUUGGAACUGAGACACGGUCCAAACUCCUACGGGAGGCAGCAGUGAGGAAUAUUGGUCAAUGGGCGAGAGCCUGAACCAGCCAAGUAGCGUGCAGGAUGACGGCCCUAUGGGUUGUAAACUGCUUUUAUAAGGGAAUAAAGUGAGCCUCGUGAGGCUUUUUGCAUGUACCUUAUGAAUAAGGACCGGCUAAUUCCGUGCCAGCCGCCGCAGUAA
rnacentral:rRNA from 1 species